GAGGGUAUAGCUCAGUGGCAGAGUGCCUGCUUAGCAUGCACAAGGUCCUGGGUUCAUUCCCCAGCACCUCCA
rnacentral:tRNA from 1 species